rnacentral:sRNA from 1 species
GGCUCAGGAUGGCGGAUUUCGACGAAAUCUAUGAGGAAGAGGAGGACGAGGAGCGGGCCCUGGAGGAGCAGCUGCUCAAGUACUCGCCGGACCCGGUGGUCGUCCGCGGCUCCGGUCACGUCACCGUAUUUGGACUGAGCAACAAAUUUGAAUCAGAAUUCCCUUCUUCAUUGACUGGAAAAGUAGCUCCUGAAGAAUUUAAAGCCAGCAUCAACAGAGUUAACAGUUGUCUUAAGAAGAACCUUCCUGUUAAUGUACGUUGGCUACUUUGUGGCUGCCUUUGUUGCUGCUGCACAUUAGGUUGCAGUAUGUGGCCAGUUAUUUGCCUCAGUAAAAGAGUAAGUUGAAUUAUAUUUUUUAAUUUAAAUUUAGAAGUGGACAAGCAAGUCUUGCAUUUAUCUAGUUUUUAUUUUUUGUAUUGAAUGAAUCACACUAUCCUGAAUACAAUAUGAAAAUAAUCUG